rnacentral:rRNA from 1 species
GACGAACCGUGCGAACGUUGUUCGGAAUCACUGGGCUUAAAGGGCGCGUAGGCGGGCUGCAAAGUCCGGGGUGAAAUCCUCCAGCUCAACUGGAGAACUGCCUCGGAUACUGGGUGCCUCGAGGGUGGUAGGGGUAUGCGGAACUAUCGGUGGAGCGGUGAAAUGCGUUGAUAUCGAGAGGAACUCCGGUGGCGAAGGCGGCAUACUGGACCACAUCUGACGCUGAGGCGCGAAAGCCAGGGGAGCAAACGGG